UCUGCGUCUGGAGAGUGUUGCUAAAGAGAGGGUAAGAGUGGAUGGACUUCAGAACUGGGUGAUGUGAUCCAGCUUCCUGGUUUUAGUCAGAACGCCAGCAGCAGCGUUCAGGAACAGCAGCUGGAGGAUCGAUUUGUUAGGCAGACCUGUGAGGACACUGCUGCUGU